rnacentral:lncRNA from 12 species
UUUUUGGAAUUUUUAUCUUUGAGAUUUUAUUUUCCUUCACCAGUUAAUUUAGUAUUAUUGAAAUUCAGAAUUCGGGAUCAAUUAAUCUUUGUUAUAAUCAUUAACCACCACUAUGGCAAAUUUUGACACUUUCAUGAGCAAGUCAUUUAAUUUUUAAAGUCAGUUCAAGAUUGAACACCUGAGUUCAUCUAUGUGUUGUCUGAGUUCAGAGUAUGUCUGCAAAUUGUGUUCUGCACCUGGAAAAUCCCUCCAAAUCCCUGCCAACCUUCAGUACAAGAUUUCUUUGUCCUACUUUGUACUUUUCCUUGCUCUUCUGUUUCAGUGACAAUGAAGUUACAGUUUCUACGUAACAGGGAUCUCUCAAGCUUACAAAAAUCACAAAUUUCAAAUAAUUGAACUCAUCCUCUAUUAAUCUAAAUAUACUUUAAAAAUUAGAGAAAAUUUAUCUAUAUAAAAGGAAACACAAUAUUUCAUAGCCGUGCAUGAGAAGUUUCUCAGUCAUGGAAUUUUGUUGACUCAUAAUUCAUCUAAAAUACCACUAUGAAACUUAACACACUGAUUUUUCAAAGAAAAAAUUUGUAAACAUUAGAUGGAUAUGACCAAGACGGUACCUUUAAAAUAACAGAAGUGGGUUCCUCAAUUUCUUUCCUAAGUGCUCUAUACUUUUCAGAGUAACCUUUACCUCUUUGGUUAGGUUUAUUCAUUAGGUAUCUUAUGGUUUUUGGUGCAAUUGUGAACGGGAUCAAUUCCUUGGUUUUUCUUUCUUUUGCCUCAUUUUUAGUGUAAAGAAAUGCAACUGACUUCUGUGCAUUGAUUUUAUAUCCUGAGACUUUGCUGAAUUUCAGCAUCAGUUCUAGCAAUUUUAGGGUGGAAUCUUUUGGGUUUUCUACAUAGAAUAUCAUGUCAUCUGUGAAGAGUGAGAGUUUGACUUCUUUGAUGAUUCGAAUGCCUUUUAUUUCUUCUUGUAUCUCAUUGCUGAGGCUAGGACUUCUAGUAGUACACUGAACUCUAGGAAACAAACAUGGUUGCUGGAGGGGAGGUAGGUGGGGGGACAGGGUAACCGCAUGAUGCCCAUUAAGGAGCGCACUUGAAAUAAUGAGUUCUGGGUGUUACAUGCAACAGAUGAAUCACUAAAUUCUACCUUUGGAACUAAUUUUAAAAACCCACCAAAAAAUAACAGAA